CUAUGUGGUUCCCAACCAACAACCCCCAACACCCGGGGUUUGAUACGGCACGGAACCAACAACUGAAUAACAACACCACACAUGUUGUAACCACACAGUCUUCCCACCAACCCCAGGGUUGGGACGGGUAACAAGGUUACGGCGGUCAUAGCGUGGGGGAAACGCCCGGUCCCAUUCCGAACCCGGAAGCUAAGACCCACAGCGCCGAUGGUACUGCACCCGGGAGGGUGUGGGAGAGUAGGACACCGCCGGAC
rnacentral:rRNA from 1 species